AAGAAAGUAGUUUAUAAGAACAUUUAUUUUGCAUAUAAAAAGAAUUAUUGAUCUUUCUUA
rnacentral:tRNA from 1 species